rnacentral:rRNA from 1 species
CCCUUCGGGGUGGAUUAGUGGCGAACGGGUGAGUAACACGUGGGCAAUCUGCCCUUCACUCUGGGACAAGCCCUGGAAACGGGGUCUAAUACCGGAUAACACUCUGUCCUGCAUGGGACGGGGUUGAAAGCUCCGGCGGUGAAGGAUGAGCCCGCGGCCUAUCAGCUUGUUGGUGGGGUAAUGGCCUACCAAGGCGACGACGGGUAGCCGGCCUGAGAGGGCGACCGGCCACACUGGGACUGAGACACGGCCCAGACUCCUACGGGAGGCAGCAGUGGGGAAUAUUGCACAAUGGGCGAAAGCCUGAUGCAGCGACGCCGCGUGAGGGAUGACGGCCUUCGGGUUGUAAACCUCUUUCAGCAGGGAAGAAGCGCAAGUGACGGUACCUGCAGAAGAAGCGCCGGCUAACUACGUGCCAGCAGCCGCGGUAAUACGUAGGGCGCAAGCGUUGUCCGGAAUUAUUGGGCGUAAAGAGCUCGUAGGCGGCUUGUCACGUCGGAUGUGAAAGCCCGGGGCUUAACCCCGGGUCUGCAUUCGAUACGGGCUAGCUAGAGUGUGGUAGGGGAGAUCGGAAUUCCUGGUGUAGCGGUGAAAUGCGCAGAUAUCAGGAGGAACACCGGUGGCGAAGGCGGAUCUCUGGGCC